rnacentral:rRNA from 1 species
AUAUCAGUAAGCGGAGGAAAAGAAACCAACGUGGAUUCCCAUAGUAACGGCGAGUGAACUGGGAUCAGCUCAGCGCCGAAUCCCUUCGAUUCUCGUUGGGAGUUGUGGCGUUUGGAGCGUGCCUGCGUGCAGUUGGUCGGCCCAAAUCUCCCAUGAUUGGGGUGCCGCAGAAGGUGCUAGACCUGUUCGGCUCGGCCGGCUGUUCGCCUGUACGCUUCCCAGAGUCGGGUUGUUUGGGAUUGCAGCCCAAAGUAGGUGGUAGACCUCACCUAAGGCUAAAUAACACCACGAGACCGAUAGCGCACAAGUA